AAACCUCUACAGUCCCACAGUACCCAAUAGUCCUCGCGCAAUGGAAGCGGUUUCUGUCUCCACCGUUGCUUCCCAUCAUUUCUCUUCAACUCGUUCUUUACUUCCAGCAAGCUCUAGCUUCUGCAACCCGAGAGCAUCGACCAAAUUUAGCUCUUCUUGGACUGGUUCCAGCCUCUCCAUAGAACCUUCUUCUAGAAAUCUUUUCACGAGGGAGGUAUGGAGUUGGGUUCAUUCGAGGAGUCUUACUGUUAGAAGGGAAAUGCGAGGUGUUGUAAGAGCGGAAAUGUUUGGGCAGCUGACUAGUGGCCUCGAAGCAGCUUGGAGCAAGCUCAAAGGAGAAGAAGUUUUGACCAAGGACAAUAUUGUGGAACCUAUGCGAGAUAUUAGGAGGGCUCUUUUGGAAGCAGAUGUAAGCCUGCCUGUUGUCAGAAGGUUUGUUCAGGCUGUAAGUGAACAAGUAGUCGGUGUUGGACUGAUUCGAGGGGUGAGACCAGAUCAGCAGUUAGUUAAGAUUGUACAUGAUGAACUUGUCAAGUUGAUGGGUGGAGAAGUAUCUGAACUGACUUUUGCAAAAUCUGGCCCCACAGUGAUAUUAUUGGCUGGUCUACAAGGUGUUGGAAAGACAACUGUUUGUGCUAAGCUAGCUUUUUAUCUUAAAAAACUGGGAAAGAGUUGCAUGCUUGUUGCUGCAGAUGUGUACAGGCCUGCUGCAAUUGAUCAACUUGUUAUUCUGGGUGAACAGGUAGAUGUUCCUGUUUAUACAGCAGGGACAGAGGUAAAACCUUCAGAGAUUGCUAGGCAAGGUCUGGAAGAGGCAAAAAAGAAGAACAUAGAUGUAGUCGUAGUGGAUACUGCUGGAAGACUACAGAUUGAUAAAGCAAUGAUGGAUGAGUUGAAGGAAGUGAAGCGUGAGUUGAAUCCUACAGAAGUUUUGCUUGUGGUGGAUGCAAUGACUGGCCAAGAAGCUGCAGCACUGGUUACAACAUUCAAUCUUGAGAUUGGAAUUACUGGUGCUAUAUUGUCAAAGCUAGAUGGUGAUUCUAGAGGUGGAGCUGCUCUAAGUGUCAAAGAGGUAUCAGGGAAGCCAAUCAAGCUUGUAGGACGGGGAGAACGUAUGGAAGAUCUUGAACCAUUCUAUCCGGACCGUAUGGCUGGACGCAUCUUAGGAAUGGGAGACGUUCUUUCAUUUGUGGAGAAAGCACAAGAAGUUAUGCGGCAAGAGGACGCACAGGAGUUGCAAAAGAAGAUAAUGAGUGCAAAAUUUGACUUCAAUGACUUCCUAAAGCAGACCCGUGCUGUUGCACGGAUGGGUUCCAUGACACGUGUUAUUGGAAUGAUUCCAGGCAUGGGGAAGGUAACUCCUGCACAAAUUCGAGAAGCAGAGAAGAGCUUAAAGAUAAUGGAAGCAAUGAUUGAAGCAAUGACCCCCGAGGAAAGGGAAAAGCCUGAAUUAUUGGCAGAAUCCCCUGAAAGGAGAAAAAGAGUAGCUCAAGAUUCGGGGAAGACAGAACAGCAGGUAAGCCAACUUGUUGCCCAACUUUUCCAAAUGCGUGUUCGUAUGAAAAAUUUGAUGGGAGUAAUGGAAGGAGGAUCAAUUCCCGCACUAAGCAAUCUUGAGGAGGCACUUAAAGCUGAACAGAAGGCACCUCCUGGUACUGCAAGGAGGAGGAGGAGAUCAGAAUCUAGGAGGCAAUUUGCAGAUUCAACAUCAGCAAGGCCAAACCCUCAUGGUUUUGGGACCAGGACUUGAGAAUUAAAUCUAAUCCACUGCUGAAGGUUCAGAUCACCGUUCAUUCCUCAAUACCCCCCCCCCCGGGUAAACUCUAAAAAAGAGGGCCCAUUCUUCUGUCUACUUCUAAUCUAGUACUCAUUAUAGGAUUACCAGAAUGAAUACUUGCAAUUCAGAAGGAUGGGAAGUUGCUAUAUAUUCUAUGGUUUUGGCGUGAAUCAAGCAAAUGUGUUUUGUUCCACCAAAAGAAGUAUAAACCAAAUUUGUUUUGGAGGGCCAUUGACAAAAACUAAAUGGAUGUGUUAUAAUUUCUACUUUUAAAUAAGCAUUUACAAGAUUUCUAUU